rnacentral:miRNA from 1 species
UGCCUAUGUGGCACGCCACGUGAA